rnacentral:rRNA from 1 species
AAUAUUGGACAAUGGGCGAAAGCCUGAUCCAGCCAUGCCGCGUGUGUGAAGAAGGUCNNNGGAUUNUAAAGCACUUUAAGUUGNGAGNAUGGGUUGUAGAUUAAUACUCUGCAAUUUUGACGUUACCAACAGAAUAAGCACCGGCUAACUUCGUGCCAGCAUCCGCGGUAAUACGAAGGGUGCAAGCGUUAAUCGGAAUUAAUGGGCGUAAAGCGCGCGUAGGUGGUUUGUCAAGUUGGAAGUGAAAGCCCCGGGCUCAACCUGGGAACUGCUUUCAAAACUGACGAGCUAGAGUACGGUAGAGGGUAGUGGAAUUUCCUGUGUAGCGGUGAAAUGCGUAGAUAUAGGAAGGAACAUCAGUGGCGAAGGCGACUACCUGGACUGAUACUGACACUGAGGUGCGAAAGCGUGGGGAGCAAACAGG